GUUUUUAUAGCUUAUAAUUAGAGCGUAGCACUGAAGAUGCUAAUGAAAUCCUAGAAUUUAAAAACA
rnacentral:tRNA from 1 species